rnacentral:lncRNA from 1 species
CAGCGUAGAAGUAGCACUCUUAGAUCUGAUUUAUCACGCAGUUUGGCUCUCUCUGCAUCUUCUGGAUGCCUGACAUUCUGAAGUUCUACAACACGCAGCUCACGACAAGUCAAUUGUGUAAGAUUCACUAUACUGCUACAUCUUUCCUUAUAUAUUUUAUGUACAUUAUGUACAAUUAACCUUGACAAAUUCAGGUCCCUUUUAAUGUCUUGAACCUUCUGAAAUACUCGAGGUAGUGCUGACGUGACCUCAAGUUGAUUGAGACUAGUCAUGUUACUGAUGUUAUCCGGCA